rnacentral:lncRNA from 1 species
UCCCUUGCACAUUCCUCGGGAUGGGAGGCUUGCUGUUUCAGGAGAGUACCUGAAGGCCUUGCUGUUGGCUGUCCUGAAGAGGUGGUUCCUGCCUCAUCACAACAGUGAGUCUCACAGGAUUACAUCCUGCUGACCGUCCCGGAGUAACCAUUCUGCUGGGGCUCUAUCCCUGCCCACAGCUGCACACACUCAAGAGCCCGAAGUCCAGGAUCAGCGUCAGUCCCAGUGCAGUUCACGGCUGUAAUAAAGAUGUUUCCUCUGUGA